rnacentral:rRNA from 1 species
GACGAACGCUUGCGGCGUGCCUAAGAAAUGCAAGUCGAGCGAGGCCAGGGAGCUUGCUCCUGAAGCCUAGCGGCGAACGGUCGCGUAACACGUAAGCAACCUGCCCCCAAGACCGGGAUAGCCCACCGAAAGGUGGAUUAAUACCGGAUGUGGAUAUGGUAAGGCAUCUUUGUCAUAUCUAAACCAGGCGACUGGCUUGGGGAUGGGCUUGCGGCCUAUCAGCUAGUUGGUGUAGUAACGGUGCACCAAGGCGACGACGGGUAGCUGGUCUGAGAGGAUGGUCAGCCGGACUGGGACUGAGAUACGGCCCAGACUCCUACGGGGGGCAGCAAUUAGGAAUCUUGCGCAAGUGGGGGAAACCCUGACGCAGCGACGCCGCGUGAAGGAUGACGGCCUUCGGGUUGUAAACGUUCUUUUAAGGGGGAAGAAGUAAAGUGACGGUACCCCGUUGAAUAACGCCCGGACUAACUACGUGCCAGCAGCCGACGGUAAAAGUACUCUAU